rnacentral:rRNA from 1 species
GACGAACGCUGGCGGCGUGCCUAAUACAUGCCAGUUGAGCGCUGAAGGUUGGUACUUGUACCAACUGGAUGAGCAGCGAACGGGUGAGUAACGCGUGGGGAAUCUGCCUUUGAGCGGGGGACAACAUUUGGAAACGAAUGCUAAUACCGCAUAAAAACUUUAAACACAAGUUUUAAGUUUGAAAGAUGCAAUUGCAUCACUCAAAGAUGAUCCCGCGUUGUAUUAGCUAGUUGGUGAGGUAAAGGCUCACCAAGGCGAUGAUACUUAGCCGACCUGAGAGGGUGAUCGGCCACAUUGGGACUGAGACACGGCCCAAACUCCUACGGGAGGCAGCAGUAGGGAAUCUUCGGCAAUGGACGAAAGUCUGACCGAGCAACGCCGCGUGAGUGAAGAAGGGUUUCGGAUCGUAAAACUCUGUUGGUAGAGAAGAACGUUGGUGAGAGUGGAAAGCUCAUCAAGUGACGGUAACUACCCAGAAAGGGACGGCUAACUACGUG